rnacentral:rRNA from 1 species
UACGAAGGGGGCUAGCGUUGCUCGGAAUCACUGGGCGUAAAGGGUGCGUAGGCAGGUCUUUAAGUCAGGGGUGAAAUCCUGGAGCUCAACUCCAGAACUGCCUUUGAUACUGAGGAUCUUGAGUUCGGGAGAGGUGAGUGGAACUGCGAGUGUAGAGGUGAAAUUCGUAGAUAUUCGCAAGAACACCAGUGGCGAAGGCGGCUCACUGGCCCGGUACUGACGCUGAGGUGCGAAAGCGUGGGGAGCAAACAGG